rnacentral:ncRNA from 1 species
CUUAUCAAGAGCGGUGGAGGGAACGGCCCUGUGAAGCCCGGCAACCUGAGGAGACUUAAGGUGCCAAAUCCGGCGGUGAGACGAAAGAUGAG